UACGGAGGGUGCAAGCGUUGUUCGGAAUUAUUGGGGCGUAAAGGGCAGGUAGGUGGUCUUGAAAGUCUGCUGUGAAAUCCCCCGAGCUUAACUUGGGAAGUGCGGCAGAUACUCCAAGACUAGAGUACUGGAGGGGUUCGUGGAAUUCCCGGUGUAGCGGUGAAAUGCGUAGAGAUUGGGAAGAACACCAGUGGCGAAGGCGGCUAUCUGGACGGUUUCUGACGCUAAGACGCGAAAGCGUGGGGAGCAAACAGG
rnacentral:rRNA from 1 species